rnacentral:rRNA from 1 species
UUGGGAAUUUUGCACAAUGGACGCAAGUCUGAUGCAGCAACGCCGCGUGCAGGAAGAAGGGUUUCGGCCUGUAAACUGCUUUUAUAGGGGAGUAAUUUUUGAAAGUACCCUAUGAAUAAGCACCGGCUAACUCCGUGCCAGCAGCCGCGGUAAUACGGAGGGUGCUAACGUUGUCCGGAAUUAUUGGGCGUAAAGAGCAUGUAGGUGGACCGGCAAGUGGGUAAUGAAAGACCGACGCUUAACGUCGGGCACGUGACCCAUACUACUGGUCUUGAGGAUGGCAGGGGUAAGCGGAACUUUAGGUGUAGGAGUGGAAUCCGUAGAUAUCUAAAGGAACACCAAUGGCGAAGGCAGCUUACUGGGCCAUUUCUGACACUGAGAUGCGAAAGCGUGGGGAGCGAA